CUAGAGCAAGUUUUCAAUGGGCUCCCCAAUGACAAGGCGACGACACAUUAGUUUGUCAUCCAUAUCAACUUUCGAUGCCAUUUACUGCGCCUACCAUGGUGACCAUGGGUAACAGGGAAUCAGGGUUUGAUUCCUGAGAGGGAGCCUGAGAAACAGCUACCACAUUCAAGGAAGGCAG